rnacentral:rRNA from 1 species
CAAUGGGCGAAAGCCUGACGGAGCAAUACCGCGUGAGGGAGGAAGGCUCUUGGGUUGUAAACCUCUUUUCUCAGGGAAGAAAAAAAUGACGGUACCUGAGGAAUAAGCAUCGGCUAACUCCGUGCCAGCAGCCGCGGUAAUACGGAGGAUGCAAGCGUUAUCCGGAAUGAUUGGGCGUAAAGCGUCCGCAGGUGGCGAUGAAAGUCUGCUGUUAAAGAGUGAGGCUCAACCUCAUAAAAGCAGUGGAAACUACAUAGCUAGAGUACGUUCGGGGCAGAGGGAAUUCCUGGUGUAGCGGUGAAAUGCGUAGAGAUCAGGAAGAACACCGGUGGCGAAAGCGCUCUGCUAGGCCUGUACUGAC